rnacentral:rRNA from 1 species
AAAACUUUCAACAACGGAUCUCUUGGUUCUGGCAUCGAUGAAAAACGCAGCGAAAUGCGAUAAGUAAUGUGAAUUGCAGAAUUCAGUGAAUCAUCGAAUCUUUGAACGCACAUUGCGCCCUUUGGUAUUCCGAAGGGCAUGCCUGUUCGAGCGUCAUUA